rnacentral:misc_RNA from 1 species
AAAAAAUUAAACCCCAGUAAAAAAAUCAUGGAAAAAAAAACAAAACAAACCGUGGACAUUUCUCGUUAAUAUAUUUAUUUAUAAAAUGCUGAUAUUAUUGUAUACGUAUAAAAGUACUUUAUCAAAGUGAUGUAAUUCUAAAUAUUAAUACAUUUAAUUUCUAAUGAAAUUAUUUUAGAUGAUGUUUUAAGUACUCUUUGUAAGUAGUUAUUAAUCCUUACAAUAUAUGAAAAUUUCUUCAUCAUGCAAGAGUCUUAAAAUAACUAUAAAUGUUAAUUGAUUUGAAUGAUCCUAAGAUGCAAGCAAAAAAACGAUAUGUUCUUCUAAUUUUAUCAUGUGCCUUUUUGUUAUAUUGUUUUUUUGGUGGGCAUCCAUUAAAAUCGGAAAUAGUUCAAAGUAGUCGCCGUGAUCAGUUGCCUACCUUUGCUUCACUUGAAGAAUUAUCGGAAGCACCUUCACAUCUUCAAAGACAGCCAGAUUCCAAUGCUAAACCAUGUCGCAUGGAGACAUGUUUUGAUUUUUCCAGAUGUGGAAAUGAUCCAAAAAUAUAUGUGUAUCCAACAGAAGGGCCUAUAAGUACUUCUUAUCGUAAAGUACUAUCAGUAGUACGAGAAUCACGAUAUGCUACAAAGGAUCCCAAUGAGGCUUGUCUGUUUUUGCCAGCUGUGGAUACUUUGGAUGCAGAUCCUUUAUCACCAGAGCAUGUUCCUGAUGUUGAGUCACGAUUAUUACGCUUGCCGUAUUGGAAGAAUGGCCGAAAUCAUCUCAUCUUCAAUUUAUAUGCUGGAACAUGGCCAGAUUAUGCAGAGGGUGCUCUAGGCUUUGAUCCUGGUGAAGCUAUUUUAGCUCGAGCCAGUGCAUCUGAAACAAUUUUUCGUGAUGGAUUUGAUGUAUCAUUACCAUUAUUUCACAAAGAACAUCCAGAACGUGGUGGCGUGCCUCCUGCUGCUACUGCUAAUCCAUUCCCAGCGCCACGGCAGCACUUGUUGGCUUUUAAAGGGAAACGUUAUGUCCAUGGAAUUGGCAGUGAAACAAGAAAUUCACUGUGGCAUUUACAUGACGGCAACAAUCUUAUUUUAGUUACUACUUGUCGUCAUGGUAAAUCUUGGAAAGAUUUGAGGGAUGAAAGGUGUGAUGAAGAUAAUCGAGAAUAUGAUAAAUUUGAUUACGAGCAAUUGUUGGCAAACUCAACAUUUUGUUUAGUAGCGCGUGGUCGUCGCCUUGGUUCAUAUCGUUUCCUUGAAGCAUUAGCAGCUGGUUGUGUCCCCGUUUUGCUAAGUAAUGGCUGGCGACUUCCGUUUGAUGAACGUAUUGAUUGGCGUCGUGCUGUUAUAUGGGCCGAUGAACGUCUACUAUUACAGGUACCGGAGUUAGUCCGUUCAGUGUCAUCUGAACGAGUGCUUGCGUUAAGACAACAGACACAAUUAUUGUGGGAACAGUAUUUUUCUUCUAUCGAAAAAAUAGUCUUUACUACAAUUGAGAUAUUGUUGGAGCGUAUAUUGGCACAUAGAUCGUCAAGGCAACGUGAGGCUCUUAUAUGGAACGCUACACCUGGAGCUCUGGGAACUUUAGCAACAUAUGGAGACUCCCGAGCUCAUUUCCCCAUCGCAGCCCCCGCGCCCCCCGCGCCGCCCGCGUCCCCCGCCCCGCCCGCUCCACUCCCUGCGCCGUCCGUACCCCUCGCCUCGCCACCGCCCACACCGGGUAACACUUUUACAGCACUACUGUAUGUUCAAGCAACAUCGCCAGCGUUACACAAAUUACUCGCAAAUAUUGCGAGUAGUGAAUUUUGUGAAAAGGUGGUACUGGUAUGGGAUAGCGAACGCGCAGCGCCAUCGUUGAAAUCUUUAGCACGUGUAGCUGGAGACACACGAGAUCCAUUGCCUGUGCUGGUCAUCGACGCCACUACUCACUAUCCUGGAGAAGGCGUAUCAGCAAGAUGGCAGCCAUUAUGGGCAGUAUCCACAGCUGCAGUAUUCUCUUUGGAUGGGGAUGCACCGCUGUUGGCUGAGGAAUUGGAUUUCGCAUUUCGAGUCUGGCAACACUUCCCCGAGCGCAUUGUGGGCUAUCCCGCACGCACACAUUAUUGGGAUGAAGCUAAGGGCGCAUGGGGCUACAGCAGCAAGUGGGGCGGUGCGUACUCGAUGGUCCUGCCGGGCGCGGCGCUGGUGCACCGCGGCACGCUGGCGCUGUACGCGGCGGCCGCGCCCGCGCUGCGCCUGCACGUGCGGCGCGCGCGCAACUGCGAGGACAUCCUGCUCAACUGCCUCGUGGCGCACCUCACGCGCCACCCGCCGCUCAAGCUCGCCCAGCGCCGCCGCUACAAGGCGCCACACCACAGGUACAGGUCGUCUUGGAGUGAUCCCGAACAUUUUGUUCAACGGCAAUCGUGUCUCAAUACGUUCGCCACUGCUUGGGGAUACAUGCCAUUGAUGCGAUCUAUUCUCCGCCUCGAUCCCAUUCUAUUCAAGGAUUCUGUGUCGACUCUUAGAAAAAAAUACAGAAAAAUGGAACUGGUGACGUCUUAAUAUUUUAACGUAAAAUCGUGCAUAUCGCAAGAUAAAAUUAUACGAUUACGGAAACGAAGCCUGCGGUAAAGGAUGAGUAACGAUUGUAUAAAAUAUACAUGAAAAUGGAAUGUAUAUACAAUUAUUCCAGAUAAUCGUGAUGCCAGAUAUAACCUGUGGUCUAUUGUUUUCGGAUAAACAUUCACCAAUCAAAAGUACAUGGUCUUAUAAUACUAGAUAAAGGGGAACUACGAGGAGGUCGACCUGACAGGGUAUAGACACCGAGUACAUUAGAAGAUGUACGUGACGUGGCUCCAUAAUGUCAUUAAAUCGUAAAAAGAAUAGUUUAUACGAAUACGAAUAUUUUUCACGAAGGUGGCAAAACAAACAUACAUCCUGUCUGAUGAUAUGGCGACUGUAGCAUAUGAACGCCUGCAACACGGGGUGUAACGUGCACGUUAUUUAAUGAAAAGAUAUCAAAAAUUAGAAUUUUAUAUUUACUAUUUUUAUUAAAUAGUCGACGAUGAUGGGUCGAAUUCGGCUUCUAUUCGUGCGGCCCGCGGCAUGUUCUUGAUUUACCACAAUUACGGAAAUAUCCCUUUUGUAAAUUUAAUUUGAACGAAUAUUAUUUUAUUAUUAACGAAUUUUACUAAAAAUACAUUUGAUGAUGUAUAGUGUAGGUACUGUUUGUAAACCAUGAAUUUUAUAAAAUUUAAAUAUAAUACAAAUAAGUCACUUUUACCUGUACUGCGUCUGGCAAUGACUAAUAUUAUUGUUGAUAUUGAUGCAAUUGUAAAAAAUAAAUGAACGAAGAAAUAAUAAAAUUA